GCUCGAAAAUUCAAGCCCCUUGGAGGCUGCAAUACAGUUACAUUAGAAGUGCCCAUCCAAGAAGGCUCAAGAUCAUUGAUUGGACUGUAGCUUUGAUUGGACUGAUCAUGUCAACAUCAUAUCUUGAAAAAUCUUAGCUAGCAGUCAUCAUCAUGAAUCAAGUUGACAAUCUACUGGCAAAUCUGUUUUAAUCCUUAUUCAUAUGAAGAUAAAACGUAUCGGUGCUCAUCGGCCAUAGAACAUAAACAUUACACAACUGGAAAUCGCAAAUCCAACAAUGAAUGGUUUGGAAGGAAUCCGUGGCUGCUUUGCAAUUCUUGCAGUUAAUCACUAGCCUGCUAUUCAGUGGAGAGGGUGUGUGGUCCCAAGUCUGGGCUUAAGGGUCUCUUUUCCAAGCUUAAAAGGAUAAACGUUCAACAUUGGCCAUACUGUCAAUGAAGCAUGAUAUCUGAUGCGCUGAAAACAACUGGAAACAUGGGAAAUCUGACUUCAGUGAGUUCAAGACAACUGGGAACUCGGGGAACAAAAUGAGCCCCGACUGGGGAAAACACGUUAUGAAUGGUCAUCCAACUCAGAAUUCCAAGUCGGGAACUCUGGCCUCUUUCUAGAGCUCUGACUGGAGUUCUAGAGCUCUGACCUGAAGAUCACCGACGUCAUGAUUCAACCUUGUGUUUUUCCCCCAGAGUUCCAAGUUGUCUUGAAAGCACCAUAAAUCCAGAGAAUGCCAGACUUUGAUGUCAAAGUUUGAUGACAAAAUUUGCCCACGAAAGACCGCUGUGCCACUUCCUGUUCAAGGAAGCACAGCAUAACAAGCAUUGAAAAGGGCGCAAGUUUAAGUUUGAACCACCUGAGUGAGUCUGACCACAAUUCAGAGACCACUAUGAUGUCAGAGACCACUAUGAUGUCAGAGACCACUAUGAUGACAGAGACCACUAUGAUGUCAGAGACCCCUAUGAUGUCAGAGACCCCUAUGAUGUCAGAGACAACUAUGAUGUCAGAGACCACUAUGAUGUCAGAGACCACUAUGAUGUCAGAGACCACUAUGAUGACAGAGACCACUAUGAUGUCAGAGACCACUAUGAUGACACACCAAAUGUGAUUGAUGGAUUGUGGGAAAAGAGCAGGAAUAGGCUUUUGUGGGCUACAGUCCAAGCUAUGUCUUCCAAUGGUGUGGCUGCUGUCGGCAUCCAAAGAUGAUCCAACUUGAAUAAACGCUUGGAGGUAAAGGAUGACAGCAGUUGGGUAGUCUACGGCGAUACGGAUGUCACUUCUUAUUGAUAUCUACAUAGAGCAUUGAUGUGAAUCACACUGCUGCUCUCUCAUUUAGCUAUUUGCGCUUUACGGAUUGUGAUUGUUCUAGAUGGCUGUUCACAAAUCUAAAUGUGUAUUUGAACCCAAUAAUGGUUGAAUUCAAGAAGUUUAAGCUGCUUAUCAUUCAUUGAUUUUGAAACCAGUGGACAGCCAGUGAAUGAUGUGCUCUUGCAUCAGCUGCAUAGUGUGGAACCCAACCUAUUGAAUAAAAGUGAAACAUCCAUAGGCC
rnacentral:lncRNA from 1 species